AGGAUAAACGAGCAGAGAAAUUAAACCUGGGCCAGACUGUGGAGACUCAAGCAAUACAGUCUCUCUGUCAUGCUCUCAGUCUCGGCCCAGGCCUGGGUGUCGAUCCCCGAGGACAUGACGCUGGAAUGCCUAUCUCAGGCGUCUGUAGAUGGGGAUUGGACAUCCCAACUGAGUGGUUAAAACAGAAGUUGAGGUUCAACUGCUCAAACCAGCAGCGUGGUUAAAACAUCAUGUCUUGGAAGCAGUCAUCUCAGGGAUUGGACGCAGAGCUGCCUGGAUUUAAUCGUCUUGGUCCCAAUUAAAGUCAGAUUUACUGACAUCAGUCACAGUUCAUCACAGUGAUUAUGCUCAAGCUGUUCAGUGAGGAGAUGAUACAGAGUUUAUGGGAACUGCCACUAAUUGGAGGUCUUCACUCUCUCACUUUGUGUUCACUCAUUAAUAACUUCCAUUUUAAUAUAUGGAAAAUAUGUCAUAUCACUAUAGUAACAUUAAUACAAUAUAAUAAUUCAAGAAGACUUUAAAAUCUAAAAUUAUCAAGGGUUGCAAUGAAAUUUGAUUGAAUUUGAUUUUUCAGUUUAAGGUAUCAUGUGUUUUGUAACAAUGUGAUUUACUCAGUUAAUGUAAUGUAUAUAAUGUAAUGUAUAUACAUGUAGAUAGUACAGGAGAGGCAAAAAUAAGCCUUGGGGCUUCAGCCUAUUCCUUUUUCGGUUGCUGUCUGAUGGAUUCUUUUGUAAAAAAACAUGAUUUUAUUUUGUUGUCUUUGUUUUGUUUGUUUUUGUUGUUGUUUUUUGUAAC